rnacentral:rRNA from 1 species
GCGUGUGUGAAGAAGGCCUGCGGGUUGUAAAGCACUUUCAGUAGGGAGGAAAAGCAACAGGUUAAUACCCUGGUGUCUUGACGUUACCUACAGAAGAAGCACCGGCUAACUCUGUGCCAGCAGCCGCGGUAAUACAGAGGGUGCAAGCGUUAAUCGGAAUUACUGGGCGUAAAGCGCGCGUAGGCGGCUUGGUCAGUCGGAUGUGAAAGCCCCGGGCUUAACCUGGGAAUUGCAUUCGAUACUGCUAGGCUAGAGUGUAGUAGAGGGAAGCGGAAUUCCAGGUGUAGCGGUGAAAUGCGU